AAUAUUGCACAAUGGAGGGAACUCUGAUGCAGCAACGCCGCGUGGGGGAUGACGGCCUUCGGGUUGUAAACCCCUUUCAGUAGGGAAGAAGCGAGAGUGACGGUACCUGCAGAAGAAGCGCCGGCUAACUACGUGCCAGCAGCCGCGGUAAUACGUAGGGCGCAAGCGUUGUCCGGAAUUAUUGGGCGUAAAGAGCUUGUAGGUGGCUUGUCGCGUCUGCCGUGAAAACCCGAGGCUCAACCUCGGGCGUGCGGUGGGUACGGGCAGGCUAGAGUGUGGUAGGGGAGACUGGAACUCCUGGUGUAGCGGUGAAAUGCGCAGAUAUCAGGAAGAACACCGAUGGCGAAGGCAGGUCUCUGGGCCAUUACUGACACUGAGAAGCGAAAGCAUGGGUAGCGAACA
rnacentral:rRNA from 1 species